rnacentral:rRNA from 1 species
ACGAACGCUGGCGGCGUGGCUAAGGCAUGCAAGUCGAGCGAAUCCGUCGCAAGACGGAUUAGCGGCGAACGGGUGAGGAAUUCGUGGAUGACGUACCCUGGAGACGGGGAUAGCGGCGGGGGCAACCCCUUUGCGAAAGUGCCGGUAAUACCCGAUGACCCCGCGGGAUCGCAUGGUUCUGCGGGCAAAGGUUCAGGCGCUCUGGGAGCGGUUCACGUCCUAUCAGCUAGUUGGUGAGGUAACGGCCCACCAAGGCUUUGACGGGUAUCGGGCGUGAGAGCGUGGCCCGACACAUCGGAACUGAGACACGGUCCGGACACCUACGGGUGGCUGCAGCAACGAAUAUUCCGCAAUGGGCGAAAGCCUGACGGAGCGACGCCGCGUGCAGGAUGAAGUCCUUCGGGAUGUAAACUGCUGUCAGGGGUGAGGAAAACAAUGACCAGCCCCAGAGGAAGCACUGACUAACUCCGU